CUUCAAUCGACAAGGUAAAGGUCAGGAACCAAUCUAUCCUCUCGAUGACCCCCUUCUCCUCCAGCAAAGGAUUCUCCUCCAUGCAAGAAUUGCAUCGAGCUCCCUUAUAGAAAUAGAGAACCUCGCUGAGCUUUCUUCCCCGUCCUGUUCCCUGCCACAUGCCGCACGCAGCACGCUGCCUCCGCCGCAUCUUCUUGAGGUGCAAUGUCGGUUUCUUUACCCAGAUAACCUGGGCUGGCGGACAGGAUAUUGGUCACUGCCAACAUCGAACUCUCCAUGACCUGACGAUCCCGUCUAUAUAUCCUGCAAAUCUCUCACCCCGGGCUUCUUCACUUUUGCAACAUCCAUCUCAGGCAAUUCGCAGUUUCCCCAAUCUGUUGAAGGUGCCCUAUUUUGUGUAACUUAUCUGUGUGGGGUUCGUGCAUGAUCAUCUUGAGCUCUAGACUGAUGUUAGUUGGAGUUGAGGAGAUCUGUUUGUGCAGCUUAGUUCAUGAUCACGGUGAUCAACUUUCAGCUGGAGCACUCUAAUGAAGGAGACUACGGAUGUCCCAGGUCAUGAUGGAGAUCAAUGCUAGCCAAGAGAUUAGGCAUGUGGACGAGCUGCUGGAUCUGCUAAAGGUCAUUAACUCAUUACUGACACCAAAACUGAUGACGAAACAAUUCAAGAUGUAGCAGAUUAGGUUAGGGGUGACACAGACAAGAAGAAACGAAGCUGGCCUCGGCCUGCUGCUGCUCAUGGAGGAAGUGGAGGGCGAGUAUGUGUAUGCGGAGGAGGUGAAGGCGAAGAAUGAGGAGUUCCGCGUGCUGGCUCCGGGAAUCCCUCCAGCCAGAAGCACAAGGCCAUGACCUAGAGUAUGUUCACGCAUGCUUAUAUCCAGCUAAUGCAUGCAAGCAAAACCUUUCAGCCAGUUUAGUUCCGCGAGAACAGAUUGAUUAGAAAGCACAUCUAUACAACCGAAAGAGAGGCUCUUAAUCUCAUGGUUCUUGAAAUAUAUCCAUAAAGCUUUACCUCAAUGUCUCUUCUUCUACCAGUAAAAAAAUAGAAACCUAAUCCUCUCUCUCUCUCUCUCUCUCUCUCUCUCUCUCUCUCUCUCGAUCUACACUGAUUUGUUUUGACUUGGUUAUUUUUUCUCUGUUUAUAAUUGAAUCGACCGUUAUUCUCCUAAUAUUUCAAUUAUUAUUGUGUUGAUUUUGUAUGUAUAAGAUUAUUAUAUUCGCAUUUUCGGCAAUACACAAACUCAUAGGUGAGGAUACUUUGGGCGAUCACUGGAGUCGCCAGCGUCAAUGCAUCCAUGUUUGUCAGAAAGAAUUUGUAGACGUUUCGCAUCACGCUCCAGAUUCCAGACCCAUGUGUCAAACCAUAGUCCAUAUGUAAAUAGAGAGAUUAGACAUACGCGGCAGUUUUGUGUUAAUGAUGGAUGCAUGGUUCAUCAACUAAGCAUACGCCCAUGCAUGUGGUUUCAUAGGUAAGGUUCUCUAUCGUUGAUUGUUUAUUAUGACAAGAUCCUUUUAUGGUACUGAUCCAUUUAAUUCCAUACCUCCUUUGAUCCUACCACUCCUCAAUCUCCUACAAUAAAGAGUUCAGUAUCCAUAUGCCGCGGUACACACAAAUUAUGACUUACGCAGUGCGGCCAAGGACGAACAGACAACUUUGCCUUUGUGAUGCAGGAUGAAGUAUGUGUUUGUAAUUUGUUCUUUUAAAUCGACCCUUAGUAAGUCUUAUUUGUUUCUAUCAUAAACAUUACAUAAGUAGCAGCAUUUGCAUGAUCAAAGUCCGUUGGUUUUAAUUUGUUCAAUCAUUAUGCAUACCAAUUCUGGACUGCAAGUUCUUGGGUGCUUGCAUUUGAACAAUAUUGUUGGCCAGCAUGGCCGAACGUGUAAUUAUGUCCAUUGUGGAUGCGUGAGCUCGAGAAUGCAAGGCACCCUUUCUGCCUCUACCAGGUUGCCAAGUAGAUUUGAACUAUGGCUUCGCGCUGGCAUAUAUGGCUACAAAAUUCUAAACCCACCAGGUUGGUCGUUCAUGGCGAGUACUACUUCACUUUGGGAGGACAAUCCACCAAGUAAGUACAUGAAAGAAAUUAAAUCACUGUUAUUGUUAUCACCGGGAAUAUUUGUCAAGAGAGGAAUAGCUGCGAUAUUAUGGCGGCGAUUAGAAGCGCCCUUGAUCAAUGGCGUCUAGCUGGCGUAAGUUGCUUAGAAAGAUAGUGAACACUCUUUACCAGCUGAUGUUCCAAAACAAUGAAUUUACUGUCAUUUAAUAUGUACGUAAACAUGAAAGGAAAAUUGUCAUCUGAGAGUAUCAAUAUACUAUCUACAAUAAAAAAAAGUCUAUACAAUCUCCUUCACUACAGAUUUUUUCCUUGAAGUUCGACGUAAGCUCUCCGUAAGUUAUGAUG